rnacentral:rRNA from 1 species
AUUGAACGCUAGCGGGAUGCUUUACACAUGCAAGUCGAACGAGUGGGGGACGGGUGAGUAAUAUAUCGGAAAGUGCCCAAUAGCGGGGGAUAACUACUCGAAAGAGUGGCUAAUACCGCCUACUAUUGGGACUGCCCAUAGAGGAUUAGCUAGUUGGUGGGGUAAAGGCUCACCAAGGCAACGAUCCGUAGGUGGUUUGAGAGGACGACCAGCCACACGGGGACUGAGACACGGCCCAGACUCCUACGGGAGGCAGCAGUGGGGAAUUUUGGACAAUGGGGGAAACCCUGAUCCAGCCAUCCCGCGUGUAUGAGAAGGCCUUCGGGUUGUAAAGUACUUUUGGCAGAGAAGCGGUAUCUGCAGAAUAAGCACCGGCUAACUACGUGCCAGCAGCCGCGGUAAUAC